GCGGCGGAGGCGAGCGAGCUCAAGCUGGGCUACUACAAGAAGACCUGCCCGGGGUGGAAGAACGUGGUCAAGUACCACGUCGCCAAGGCCAUCAGGGCCAACCGCGGCAGCGGCGCCGCCCUCGUCCGCCUCAUCUUCCACGACUGCUUCGUCAGGGUACGUGCCGCGCCGCCGUCGUAACUCACCACGCACGACACAGCUCCUCUCCGCCCAUAGCUAUUAGCUCAGCUCGUUCGUCCGUGUAGCUAGCUACCUAGCUCACGCCAUUGUCGACCAGCACGUUCGCGCCUGUCAUUCCGUCAACGUCUCAAGGACAUUUCUUGGUCUCCAAAAAAAAAAAAAAGUAGUACUCGAGUAUACCAGGAGAAUUGGUUUAAUUAGUCAAAUAGUUCAUGGUUACAAAGGGCAGGAACACAGUGCACAAGCUUCUUUAAAAUGCUAGGAAUAGAGAGCAGCAGUAACCUUCCAUUCCAACCACACUUUUUACAGGUGCCAACAUAGUUUCGCUAAAAAUAGUACUCAUGCUUACGUGACCAAAGCAUGUAACAGCCGACCGAAGCAGCACCUGCAUUGUACACGGACUAAUUUUGAGCAAGUACCAAAACUGUCAACACUAACAACCGUUGUUUAACCAUCUGUCACCUUACCUACCUGGAAAGCGUUUACAUACAACCGAGAGUCCUAACGGCAUACUCCUCCAUCACUUUGGAGCUUCUUUAUAUUACCGAUCGAUAAGAAAGUUCCUUGUAGCUUAGCUCCUCUAGCAAGCUGUCCAAACAUCUUUCGUUCGCCAAUCGUCAUCAUUGCUGCUGUCGUCCACGAAUAGUCUGAUGUGGAUGAGUUUCGUGCGCCGGUUGUUCACUCCAACAUGGCGCGCAAAAGAGACUUUAUUUUUCUGCUUAGCUAGCUGGAGAAUCGGUCACGAAUGCGAUACUUUCCUUGGAGU
rnacentral:lncRNA from 1 species